UUAUUCAAGCACUACUCAAUUCACAUCUUCUUUCUUGAUUUAUUCUUUCAGAGACUACACCUGUUGGUUUGGCUUGCAGCUGGAAUUGGAGAGGAAAUUUAUUUCCAUGAAUGGAGAAGUGUCAGAGUGAGCAGGCACGUGGCACCUGAAGCCUGGGAACAGGCUCACGAGAAUAACGUCGAGGCGAAAUGACUGUCAGAGACUUUAGAAGAUCAAACACCCAACCAAACGCAUUUCCUACAAAUAAUAUGGAGGAAGCAGAGACAGAUGUGCAAUGCAGCUUGACUGGGGGGCAGGAGUCCUUGGGCUGGUUCCAGCUUUGCCUCCUGCUAAAUGUCGCAUCCUUGGUAAGUCACAUAUCCUCUAGGUGUUUCAGUUUGGUCAUCUUUAAAAUGGGAUAAUUAUAUCCACUUUGCCUAUUGAACAGAGGACAUACGUGUUUUGGUAUGUUGACAUAUAUAAGGUGGGAGGGAAUGUGGUUUAUGAGGAUGAAGCCCUUGGCCAGUGGCCUGGGCAGCUCAGCUGGCAUCCUCAGGGUAUAAUUAGAGGGACUUGAAGGUCAUCUAAAUGCUUCCCUCCAUUAACCCUAACAUUUCCACGUUUAGAUUUGUUUUUCAGGAUCCCAUAGGAAAUUUGUGUAUUUUAUGGGUUAUUGACUGAAUGAAGUCAGAUUUCUAUUUAGCUUUAGCUCUGUUCCAUUUUUGCUAAAACUUUUGAAGAAAAUGAAUUACGUCUUAUUAAGUUUAGACUGCUACUAGCUUGGAUAUGGUUUGUAAAUUAGAAUAUCUUUUCAGAACAUAAUGUCACGGUAGGAAUUUUCAGGGGAGCAUAUCUUCUGUGUCUGUUCUGUGUGGUCCACAGUUCACUGGUCUACGUCAGCACAGAUCUGGUCACCUUUUAAUGCUUCAGGGCAUGUGGCCUUUUAGGAGAGAAAUAGGGCUCUCAGGUGAGAGCCCUGGGCCUGGGAUCAAUGCUGUGGACCUCGAAGGCAAGAGGAGCUGGUGCCAAUAUGUUGAUGCUCAUGCCACCUGCUGUGUCGUGAGUAAUACAGUCCUUUGUUUCUGACCCAGGAGCUCAUGUCUCCUGCCAGCAUCCAUAAAGUAGAAUCAGGCUAAUCUGUUUGUGUGUAAGUGGCAUAAAGUCAUAUCUUAGACCUGACAUCUAGCUUCCUGAAUCCUGGGCGGAGCUCCUUCCACAGGAACGCCUUCUAUAAAUACCUCGACCCAAGGAGAAGGAAAAGUAGUCACAAAGCUCAUCUGGUGAUAUGACUGGAUCUGCUCCACGUUCCUUCCUUUUGAUUUUCUGGGCCUGGGCCUCUGUUAGCAAGCCUUCGGUAGGUAUCAAUGGUGGGUAGUUGACUGGCUCAUUGGUAAAUAGAGAUCCCUAGAGGCCAGUGGAGGCCAGCCAGUGGAAGUGAUAAGGAGGGAGCUGGGAAGAAGAGGGAGAAGGGGAGACAGAGGAUCAUUUGGCAAAGACAUUUACUGUCCCUUUACCAUUUUCUGUACCUGUCACACCAUGACAAAAGGAAUAAGGGUGGUGAAGUUGCUCUGCUGAGACAGCAGCAUCCUUGAGGAUCUAGGGAAUGGGGGACGGACGGCAGGGCUGGUGGCCUGUGGGGGGCACCGUGUGAGAGAGGAGGACUGCUGGAAGGAGAGCUCACUUGGGGAGAGAUCCCACUGUGCGGUCAGGUAGAAGAGGGGAAGCGAGGCCAGGGCAGUGUCAUGAUCUCACCCAGAAAAUAUUGAAGUUCAUUUUCACCUUGCUGGCUACUGCCCUUGUAAGAAUCCUAAAGAAAUCUUAGCCAGUGCGGAGAGCUCUAACCAGAAGUGAGUGUUCCAGGCCCUUUAAGCCUGAUGAGCCUCCUCACACAUGGUCCACAGAACGUGAGGCCAGCUCUCCCCAAGAAGUCUGAAAUGAUAGCAGGUGUUUUUCAAAAUAACUUUCCCUUUAUUGACUAAAGUAGAUAGGCCUCUGUCAUAAAAACUUUAAUUGCUCAUCAAAUAUUUGGCUAAAAUUGAGUCAUUUUCUUUCAGGGGAAGUUAGCAUUCUUAAAUCACUAGCAAAUGAGAGGUUUGUAAAAAAUUUACCAAAGCACUCUUUGUGUGUAUACACAAUGGUUAAUGGUCAAUAAAUAGAUACUUUAUUGCCUGGAGGUUCUGUCU
rnacentral:lncRNA from 1 species